GAUGAACGCUGGCGGCGUGCCUAAUACAUGCAAGUCGAGCGAACAGACGAGGAGCUUGCUCCUCUGACGUUAGCGGCGGACGGGUGAGUAACACGUGGAUAACCUACCUAUAAGACUGGGAUAACUUCGGGAAACCGGAGCUAAUACCGGAUAAUAUAUUGAACCGCAUGGUUCAAUAGUGAAAGACGGUUUUGCUGUCACUUAUAGAUGGAUCCGCGCCGCAUUAGCUAGUUGGUAAGGUAACGGGUUACCAAGGCUACGAUGCGUAGCCGAACUGAGAGGGUGAUAGGCCACACUGGAACUGAGACACGGACCAGACUCCUACGAGAGGCAGCAGUAGGGAAUCUUCCGCAAUGGGCGAAAGCUUGACGGAGCAAGGCCGCGUGAGUGAUGAAGGUCUUCGGAUCGUAAAACCCUGUUAUUAGGGAAGAACAAAUGUGUAAGUAACUAUGCACGUCUUGACGGUACCUAAUCAGAAAGCAACGGCUAACUACGUG
rnacentral:rRNA from 1 species